rnacentral:rRNA from 1 species
GACGAACGCUGGCGGCGUGCUUAACACAUGCAAGUCGAACGGAAAGGCCCUGCUUUUGUGGGGUGCUCGAGUGGCGAACGGGUGAGUAACACGUGAGUAACCUGCCCUUGACUUUGGGAUAACUUCAGGAAACUGGGGCUAAUACCGGAUAGGAGCUCCUGCUGCAUGGUGGGGGUUGGAAAGUUUCGGCGGUUGGGGAUGGACUCGCGGCUUAUCAGCUUGUUGGUGGGGUAGUGGCUUACCAAGGCUUUGACGGGUAGCCGGCCUGAGAGGGUGACCGGCCACAUGGGGACUGAGAUACGGCCCAGACUCCUACGGGAGGCAGCAGGGGGGAAUAUUGCACAAGGGGCGGAAGCCGGAUGCAGAAACGCCGCGGGGGGGAUGACGGCCUUCGGGUUGAAAACCGCUUUCGCCUGUGACGAAGGGUGGGUGACGGUAAUGGGAAAAGAAGCACCGGCUAACUACGU